CUUGUGAGAGGGUGGAGCCCGUUGAAAAAAACUGAAACGUGUGAAGUUAAAGUCAGCUUCCUCGCUGGCUGAGAGGACCAGAGGCCCACCUGCGCUGUCACUGGGCUUUGGUGCCAGGAAAAAUGGACAAGCUUCUGGGAGCAGUAUUUUUAAUUCUGUGGCUUCAAGUAAGCUGGGUGAGUGGACAACAGAAUGGAAAAAGUGACCAACAGCAGGUGAAACAGAGCCCUCAGCCCCUGGCAGUCCACGAAGGAGCAGUUUCAAUUCUGAACUGUACUUAUGAGAAUGAUGCAUUUGACUACUUCCCAUGGUACCGGCAGUACCCUGGUCAAGGCCCUGAAUCCUUGAUAGCCAAAACUUCAGCUGGGAAUAAAAAGGAAGAUGGAAGAUUCAAAGUUUCCUCCAAUAAAAGUGCUAAGCACUUCUCAUUGCACAUCAAGGACUCCCAGCCCGGAGACUCAGCCACCAACUUCUGUGCAGCAAGUGCAUGGUGCUCCCCAGGCCCCUGUAGCCUGUACCCAAACCUGCAGCCAGGGCUCCAGCCACAUCCUGAUGUGUAGUUGAAAUAUUCACACAUAGACACACACACACACACACACACACACACACACACUCUGUUAGUCCAUAAAACAGUCUUAGUACAUUUUAAAAAACUAAAGUUAUGCGAAAUUUCUACCUUGACCAUAAG